CCCUUAGAUGUUCUGGGCUGCACGCGCGCUACACUGAUGCACUCAACGAGUUUACGACCUUGCCCGAUAGGGUUGGGUAAUCUUUUUAAAAUGCAUCGUGAUGGGGAUAGAUUAUUGCAAUUAUUAAUCUUCAACGAGGAAUUCCUAGUAAGCGCGAGUCAUCAGCUCGUGCUGAUUACGUCCCUGCCCUUUGUACACACCGCCCGUCGCUCCUACCGAUUGAAUGCUCAGGUGAGCCAUUCGGACUUUCAUCAUGCUGGUUUCCAGUUUUGAUGAAGGAAAGUCUUGCGAACCUUAUCAUUUAGAGGAAGGAGAAGUCGUAACA
rnacentral:rRNA from 1 species